AGGUUUAUACAUAAAAGUUUACAAAAGGAUCGGCUCCCAAUAAAAGAGGAUUGUCCUACGACUAGCUAGCCGAACAAGAUUGCCGAUUCUUCAGGCUUCACCUCUUAAACGCCGGGGCUUCCAGUCCUUCACCAACACCGUCUAAGGACCUAAAAAUGGUUAUACAAUAACCAGUGAGAUAAUGUUUCAGCAAGUUCUACCCCUAAAGACUCGAUUAGAAAGCCAAUAUACUUUGAAACUACCUAAGGACAACACGAGUUAGAGGACUUACCUUGGCCUCAGUUCCUCCCUGCAAGUCAAUUCAAUUCAAAUAUACCACCAAUCAAUCACCACAGAUUGAGACUUCAAUCAAUCGAACUAGUCGAUUAUAUGUCAUCACGACCUUCCCCUGGUCGGUACAUUCAAUACUAUCUAUAAGGUCCUAUCAAACCAUGACCGCUCACCCAAAGCUGAAAAUAUAGAUAGUAUAGCUCGCCCAAAGCUAUAGUAUACUAUGUAUAUGCUUGCCCAAAGCUGAUAGAAUAGGGCCCCCAGGCCAAUUUAGUAUACUAUAUAUGCUCACCCAAAGCUGAUAAUAUAUGCUCGCCCAAAGCUAAUAUGAUUUGCUCGCCCAAAGUUGAUAUUAUGGUAUACUAUUUAUAUGCUCGCCUAAAACUAAUAAUAUAUGCUCGCCCAAAGUUGAUAAUUUAGGGGCCCCAGGCCAUUAUAGUAUACCACUCCCACCAUACAAUUAAUUCAUCAUUUUUAUUAUACCGAUAAAAAUAGUAGUGUGUGGGUACACGGUCGGCCUUAGCCAAAAUACCAUAAUUUCGCUUUUGAUUUUUCCCACAUCUUUCAGCAGUCCAAAUAUAGAUUUUUGGCGUUGUAGACCGACGGCCGGUAAUUUUCCAAUUAAUUAUCAAAAUUUCUUAAUUUAUGAAUUAAAUUAUAAAAUCACCAAUAAAUCAAUUCAUCACAAUUUAGCACUCAAAUAAUUAAAUAGACUACACCAUGAUAAUCAACAUAAAAUUCCGGUCACCGGCUAUCCCGGUCUAAUUUUUGAAAAAUAAAUAAAUAAUUAAAUAAUUACGAAAAUUAAUAAAUAAAUGCAAUAAAUCCAACUUAGGCCCGUAAUGCCUAAUUGGAAGCCGAAAUGGACCCGGAAAAUUUCCGAGGUUCGUUCGAUAAAUACUAAAACCUAUUUACUUGCUAAUUGCACUAACCGUUUGUCAAGCAUGCAUCGAUAAGGCACUAAUUUAAUUGUUCUACUCUAAUCUAACCACAUAAUUGUACUUAAUUAAAUCUAAUUAGCCCCUAAGCAUCAUUAACCUACUAAGCGAGGUUUAGUGAGUUAAACCCACUUGCUUAAAGCGAAGACUACUUCACCGCGGCGAUAGCACGAUGGCGGCCAAAAUCUGAAUUUUCGGCGGCGUCGACGGACACUUGAGCUGGGCCAAAAACCUUGCAAGCCCACAGCAAUUGCUGGGCUUGGUAUUGGGCUUGGGCUGCUUCGUGGGCUUCAAGAUGGGUUAACUUUGGGCCUGACUUCAAGUGGGCCGAAACUUGGGCCGAAUUGCAAGCUUCAAUGGACUGAAAAUGGGUUGAAUUCGCUGGUGUGGCUUCACUGGGCUCGAGCAACGAAGCAGCAAGGGCUGAAGUUGGGCCGAAUGGAGUGGGCUGAAGACGGCGCUGGCCUUGCUUGAGUGUGGGAUUGGCGCCAGCAGGAGGAAGGAGCAACGUCGACGGGCUGCUUGGGAUUUCGGUGAAAUCAAGCUGCACGAGGGAAUGGGAGAAGAGACCAAAGAUGCUGGCUUCAAUUCAAUGGAGAUUCAGUGGUCUUUGGUCAACAAAUUGGGGAAUUCGUUGGCUUGAUCGAGAAGAGACAAAACUCAGUGGGAUUGUGGGUUGAGUGGAAUAGAAAAAUUUAAUGAAGAGCUUCGGUUCAAAUGAAAAAAAGAAAAGGUGAGGGCGGUUGAUUCGGUGGAGUCUUCGAUGCGUGAGAGGGAGAGAAGUAAUGGAGACGAGCUGGAUUCGAGGGCUUUGACGUCGUGGCAGCAAAAGAUGGCGCCGUAGACUCCAACGGAGGGGCUAAUCGAAGGGAAAAAUGAAACCAAAGCAAGGAUGGAAGACUAAAGGAUCUACACGGUUCUUUUCAAAGGAAACGAGAUAGAGAUAGAGGCGGUGAGAGGCAGUGACGGAAGGGAAACAGCUGGUGGUCUAGACGUGCUGAAGAAGAUUGGAUAGAGAAGGGGCAAGAGUCAAUCAAAUAUCCUAGUUCCAUAAAUGCUUGGUUCCCUUGGUCUUCAUGCAUAUCCCCUUUGAUCUUCUCUCCCCCCCUCAAUACUUUCUAACAAAUAUAAUCCAAGAACUAACCCAAUUGAUGCC
rnacentral:lncRNA from 1 species